AUACAUUUGAAAUAACAGCAACUAUAUUAAUUACAAACAUUUCACUAAUAUGAGGGGUACAAUUUAUGGAAAUUGACUGCCAUUGGGUACUCAAGUGAAAAAAGGUUGGAAACCACUGAUGUAGAGCAACAAUUCUUUUUUUUCAGAUCCUCAGAGAGUUCUUUGCCAUGAGGUGCCAUGUUGAACUUCCAGUGACCAGUAUGAG